GACAGAGGGUGCAAACGUUGUUCGGAAUUACUGGGCGUAAAGCGCGUGUAGGCGGCCCUGCAAGUCGGAUGUGAAAUCCCACGGCUCAACCGUGGAAGUGCAUUCGAAACUGCAGGGCUAGAGUCCUGGAGAGGAAGGUGGAAUGCUUGGUGUAGAGGUGAAGUUCGUAGAUAUCAAGCGGAGCACCGGUGGCGAAGGCGGCCUUCUGGACAGUGACUGACGCUGAGACGCGAAAGCGUGGGGAGCAAACGGG
rnacentral:rRNA from 1 species